GCAGGGGAAUCCGAAAACCUGAGCAAAAGAGUAGGAU
rnacentral:ncRNA from 1 species